CGAUUGAUUGAUUGAUAUACUAAAAUUGGAAUGAUACAGAGAAGAUUAGCCUGGCCCCUGAGCAAGGAUGACACGCAAAUUCAUGAAGUGUUCCAUAUUUUU